CUUGCUAAGUUUGAUGGCGACCGGCGCACGGGUGAGUAACACGUAUCCAACCUGCCCUUUACUCGGGGAUAGCCUUUCGAAAGAAAGAUUAAUACCCGAUAGUAUAAUGAUUCCGCAUGGUUUCAUUAUUAAAGGAUUCCGGUAAAGGAUGGGGAUGCGUUCCAUUAGGUUGUUGGUGAGGUAACGGCUCACCAAGCCUUCGAUGGAUAGGGGUUCUGAGAGGAAGGUCCCCCACAUUGGAACUGAGACACGGUCCAAACUCCUACGGGAGGCAGCAUG
rnacentral:rRNA from 1 species